rnacentral:rRNA from 1 species
CUGGGACAUGUACUGACACUGAGGGACGAAAGCGUGGGGAGCAAACAGGAUUAGAUACCCUGGUAGUCCACGCUGUAAACGAUGCUUGUUGGCUGGUGGGAAGUCACUAGCGAUAGCUAACGCGUUAAACAAGCCGCCUGAGGAGUAUGCUCGCAAGAGUGAAACUUAAAGGAAUUGACGGGGACCCGCACAAGCGGUGGAGCAUGUGGUUUAAUUCGAAGUCACACGUAGAACCUUACCCACUCUUGACAUACUUGGCAAAGCUAUAGAGAUAUAGCCGAGGUCAUCCAAGUACAGGUGGUGCAUGGUCGUCGUCAGCUCGUGUCGUGAGAUGUGGGGUUAAGUCCCUGAACGAGCGCAACCCUUAUUCUUAGUUGCUAACAAGUAAUGUUGAGGACUUUAAGAAGACUGCCAGAGUAAUCUGGAGGAAGGUGGGGACGACGUCAGAUCAUCAUGCCCCUUACGAGUGGGGCAACACACGUGCUACAAUGGGAGUUACAAAGAGAAGCAAAACAGUGAUGUGGAGCAAACCUGAAAAAACUCUCUCAGUUCGGAUUGGAGUCUGCAACUCGACUCCAUGAAGCAGGAAUCGCUAGUAAUCGUAGGUCAGCUAUACUACGG